GGAGUGUGUUGCCAUUCCCUUCUCCACUGGAUCUUCCUGACCCAGGGAUUGAACCCGGGUUUCCUGCAUUGCAGGCAGAUUCUUUACCAUGUGAACCACCAGGGAAGCCUUCACAUAUGUGGUGUGGUUCUCAGUGAGGACAAGUUCAAUUGAUAUGCUUGAAGAAUUCUAAUUAAGAAACAAGGUAAUUUCAAAGAUUUACCUCCUGGUCACAUACUUAUUCUGACUUGGAAAUAUCAACCAACAAUAAGUAAUUCAGGAGAUAACUAUUCGUAGAGAGGAAGGGGCCAACAAGAAUGUCACAUACGUGUUUUGUCAGUGGACUCUAGUCGUGUCAAGGUGAGAUAAACUAAUCGUUUCACCUUGAUGUGCUAAAUUAAGUAGUGUGAAGAAAUCAGAAGACAAUGGUGAAUAAAAUGAGCUGAGUGAAUAACUUGCUAUU
rnacentral:lncRNA from 1 species